rnacentral:rRNA from 1 species
UACGAAGGGGGCGAGCGUUGUUCGGAUUUACUGGGCGUAAAGGGCGCGCAGGCGGUUCUGUUUGUCGAGUGUGAAAGCCCCGGGCUCAACCUGGGAACUGCGCUCGAAACGGCGGAACUAGAGUUCGGGAGAGGAGAGUGGAAUUCCCAGUGUAGAGGUGAAAUUCGUAGAUAUUGGGAAGAACACCGGUGGCGAAGGCGGCGUCCUGGACCAAUACUGACACUGAAACGCGAAAGCCAGGGGAGCAAACGGG